rnacentral:rRNA from 1 species
GACGAACGCUGGCGGCGUGCUUAACACAUGCAAGUCGAACGGAAAGGCCCUGCUUUUGUGGGGUGCUCGAGUGGCGAACGGGUGAGUAUCACGUGAGUAACCUGCCCUUGACUUUGGGAUAACUUCAGGAAACUGGGGCUAAUACCGGAUAGGAGCUCCUGCUGCAUGGUGGGCGUUGGUAAGUUUCGGCGGUUGGGGAUGGACUCGCGGCUUAUCAGCUUGUUUGUGGGGUAGUGGCUUACCAAGGCUUAGACGGGUAGGCGGCCUGAGAGGGUGACCGGCCACAUGAGGACUGAGGUAGGGCGCAGACUCGUACGGGAGGCAGCAGUGGAGAGUAUGACACAAUGGGCGGGCGCCUGAUACAGCGACGCCGCGUUCGGAAUAACGGCCUUCUAGUUGUAAACCGCUUUCGCCUGUGACGAAGCGUGAGUGACGGUAAUGAGUAAAGAAGCACCGGCUAACUACGUG